rnacentral:rRNA from 1 species
GCGAACGUUGGCGGCGCGUACUUAACACAUGCAAGUCGUCACGGGCGAAUAGGGGGAGCAAUCCCGUCGUGGUAGCGUGGCGCACGGGUGAGUAACACGUGGGAUAAUCCUGACCCUCGAGACCGGGGAUAACCCUCCCGAAAGGAGGGGCUAAUACCGGCAUAAGACCACUGGAUCGCGAGCACCUGGUUGAGGGUCAAAGGCAGGCCGCUACAUGUAAGCUUGCAGCUUCAAGGAGGGAGCUCCGCGGCCCUAUCAGCUAGUUGGUGAGUGUAACGGACUACCAAGGCGAUAGACGGGUAGCUGGUCUGAGAGGACUGAUCCAGCCACACGGGGACUGAGACACGGUCCCAGACUCCUACGGGAAGGCAGCAGUGGGGAAUCUUUCCGCAAUGGGCGAAAGCCUGACGGCAAGCUGACGACCGCGUGGGUGGAUGAAGGCCUUCGGGUUGUAAACCCCUGUAGGGGAGGGAACGAAGGUAGUACCGGACCGUGAAUACGUCGGUAGGCAUGACGGUACCUUCAGAGGCAAGCCCCGGCUAACUCUGUGCCAGCAGCCGCGGUAAGACAGAGGGGGCAAAGCGUUGUUCGGAAUCUACUGGGCGUAAAGCGGCGUGUAGGCGGGCUGGUAAGUCGGGUCGUGAAAGCCUCGGGCUCAACCCCGAAGAAGUGCAGUCGAUACUAGCCUACUUAGAGGUACUGGAGAGGAUGGACUGGAACUCUCCGGUGUAGAGGUGAAAUGUCGUAGAGCAUCGAGAAGGAACACCGGUGGCGAAGGCGGGUCAUCUGGACAGAUUACUGACGCUGAGGACGCGAAAGCGUGGGGAGCAAACAGGGAUUAGAUACCCCUGGUAGUCCACGCCGUAAACGAUGGGUGCUAGGUGUCACGGGUAUUGACCCCUGUGGUGCCGAAGCUAACGCAUUAAGCACCCCGCCUGGGAAGUACGGCCGCAAGGCUAAAACUCAAAGGAAUUGACGGGGGCCCGCACAAGCGGUGGAGCAUGUGGUUUAAUUCGACGCAACGCGAAGAACCUUACCUGGGCUAGAACUCACAAGAAUCCUGCGGAAACGUGGGAGUGCUCGCAAGAGAACUUGUGGUGAGGUGCUGCAUGGCUGUCGUCAGCCUCGUGUCGUGAGAUGUUGGGUUAAGUCCCGCAACGAGCGCAACCCCUAUCGUCUAGUUGCCAGCGGUCCGGCCGGGCACUCUAGCGAGACUUGCCGAUCUCAAAUCGGAGGAAGGUGGGGACGACGUCAAGUCAUCAUGGCCCUUAUGUCCAGGGCUACACACGUGCUACAAUGGUGGGUACAGUGAGUCGCAAACCCGCGAGGGCAAGCUAAUCCCAAAAAAACCCACCUCAGUACAGAUAAGAGUCUGCAACUCGACUCUUUGAAGUCGGAAUCGCUAGUAAUCGCCGAUCAGCAGGCAGCGGUGAAUACGUUCCCGGGCCUUGUACACACCGCCCGUCACACCAUGGGAGUCGUCUGCUCCAGAAGCGGCUGCGCCAACUCGCAAGAGAGGCAGGUCUCCAAGGAGUGUACGGUAAACUGGGGUG